ensembl:lincRNA
CUUUUCUAGUUAGAAAAAGCUAAACAUUGUGCGACUUACGCCCAAAACCCCCUUCUAAGGGGAUUCUCACCUUAACUUGUCUUCCGUGGUCAGUGUUUCCCGCCCCUGAAUCUGGGUUACUGUCACUAUGGCUUUCAAUUGGCCCGGCUUAGGCGCAUGCUCUGCGCGUAUUGGCCUCCGCUCCUGUCCCCAGACAAGCGGCCAUCUUGGGUCCCGCCCCUACCGUGGGGUCUUCUGGGAAUUGCAGUCCCCGCUCCGCUCUGUCCUGUCACAGGACUUUUUGCCCUCUGUUCCUGGGUCCCUCAGGCGGCCACCCAGUGGGCACACUCCCAGGCGGCGCUCCGGCCCCGCGCUCCCUCCCUCUGCCUUUCAUUCCCAGCUGCCAACAUCCUGGAAGCUUUGAAGCUCAGCAAAGAAGAGAAAUCCAUUGAGAACGGUCUGUAAAGGCAUGUAUUUUAGACACACUGGGUGUACCCUUAAAUAACCUUCAGGAACAAUACUCAUUUCUGCACUGUUUCGAGAGGCAGAAAACAACAGCAAAAAGAACUUGGAAGUCUAUGUUCUGUCUGCAACCAGAAGAGAAGAAUUUUGUUGGAAGCAUCUUUAUUAGAGGCAGCUGUCAGUAUGGGAUUUAUUUCCACUGGGUGGAAACAAAAGGUGCUACAGAGGAAUGUACAUAAAGAUAGCACCCAUGAGGCAUUCGGAUAAAUAAAAGUAGGCAAUAUUAAUGAUGCUCAUUAGCAGAUGUCACUGUUGGGGAUGAAGUAAAUUCCACACCAAAGUGUUUCACAUAUUACACUUUUCAAAACUGUCAACUUUUUGACUUUGAUGUAUGUCCAUGUGAAUACUUUUAAUAAGUUCCUACAGUACUUUCUUUGCAUAUACCCUGAGGAAUUCUAUGGAAUUGCUGCCAGCAAUAUCACAAAGACAUGAUUGGUGCUUCACUUGGAAAUGUGAAGGCUCAGAUCAUUACAUUCCUACUUAUUCAUGGUGCAAAUAUUUGUCUAAGAAUUAGUUUAAAAAUAUUGUAUGACCAAGCAGAUUCUGUAGUUUAAAGCAAUCUUCCAUGGGCCGUUGCCUGUAUAACUAACAGAAUUAUGUAUGCAUAAAACUGCUUUUACUGUAGAAGCCAAAAUGCAGAAUAAUAGCUUGUCAAACUGUCAUUUGCAAGUGAGAUCAUAGAUUUUAUAGUCCAAAUUAGGUUGUGUUCUUUUCCUUUUUGUCAGGUCAUAUUCUAAUAACCAUAUUGUGCACUAAACCCUGUGAUUAUCCCAACACUUGACAGAUGGUAGGCUGUUAAUUUGUAUGUAAGAGACAGUGAUUGCCAGCGCCCUAACAGUAUUCAGCAAAAUAUGAAAUGUCAAAAUCCACUUUUGGUUCCAUUUUGCUUGACUUCAUUUUAGCAAGGUAAUGCUAGGCAGAAGAGUUUCAGUAGCUCAGCAUAUGUUUCAUUUUACUACUCUGUAUGGUUUUACUAACCACUAGAAAUAGAAAGGAUUAAGAAAGAAGUAAUUUGUUUUAUGUCAUGCUUUCCCCUUUCCUGUGGAGAGUGAUCAUCAGCCUGAAGGGUUAAUUGAAGGCACUGAAUGAGAGCUGAGAGCAGACAGGAUUUAAUUGCUCAAUAUUGAGGAUAACUGUGGUACAGUAGUAGCAUACACUGAUGUUUAUAAGUAUAGUGGGGACAAAAUAAUUUAAAAGUUUAAGUUAAAAGUGCACUGGCAAAUUCACUAAAAAACUCUUGGAACUACUAAACGAAUUCAGCAAUACAGCAAGAUACAAGAUCAAUAUACAAAAAUCAAUCUUAUUUCUAUAUACUAGCAAUGAACAGUCUGGAAAAGAGAUUAAUGAAACAAUCUUAUAUAUAAUAGCAGCAAAAAAUAAAAUAUCUAAGAAUAAACUUAACAGAAUUAUAAGAUGUGAAAACUAGAAAGUAGUUGAAAGAUAUUAAAGAAUAAAUAAAUGGAAAGAUAUGCCAUGUUAUUGGAUCAGAAAACUUAACAUUUUUAAGAUUGCAAUACUGGCCAAAAUGAUCUGUGUAUUUAAUGGAAUCCCUUUAAAAAUCCCAGCUGUUUUUUAAUUUUUUCCCCAGAAAGCGAUAAGCUGAUCCUAAAUUGCAUGUGGAACUGCAAAUAUCCAGAAUAGCCAAAACAAUCUUGAAAAAGAAGAAAGAAGUUUGAAGACUUACACUUACUGGUUUCAAAACUUGCUACAAAGCUAUAGCAAUUAAGGCUGUGUGGUACUAACAAAAAAGGUAGAUCAAUAGAAUAGAAUUGAGAGUCUAGAAAUAAAUCCUCACAUUUAUGGUCAAUUGAUUUUUAACUAGAGUACCAAGACAAUUCAAUAGGAGAAACAUUAGUCUUUUCAAUAAAUGUUGUUGGGACAACUGGGGUUAUCUACAUGCAAAGAAUGACUUAGGACUUGUACCUCACACCAUACACAACAAUUAGCUCAAUAUGGAUCAUAGACCUAAAUUUAAAAGGUAACAGUAUAAAACUCCUAGGCAAAACCAUAUGAGUUAAUCUUUGUGAUCUUGGGUUAGGUUUCUUAGAUAUAAUACCAAAAGCACAGGUGACAAAAUUUAAAAAAUAAAUAAUUCAGACUUUGUCAAAACUUAAAACUUUUGUGUGUCAAAUGACAACAUCACAAAAGUAAAAGGAUGUACCUAAAGAUGGGAGAAAAUUUUAUAUCUGAUGAUGGACUAGUAUCUAGACUAUAUUAAGAACUUCUGCAACUCAACCGUAAAACGACAAAUAACACAAUUUAAAAAUGUGCAAAGUAUCUGAAUAGGCAUUUUCCCAAAGAAGAUACACAAAUGGUUAAUAGCACAUGAAAAGAUGCUUAGUAUCACUCUUUACUAGGCAAGUCAAAUUAGAUCAAACCAAAACCACAACGAGAUGCCACUUCAUUCACAGUAGAAUGGCUAAAAUAGAAAAGACAAUAACAAGCACUGGUGAGGAUAAGAGAAAUUAAAACCCUCAUAUGUUUUGGUGGGAUUGUAGGAUGGUGCAGCCACUUGGGGAAAAUGUUUGACAGUUCUGCAAAAUGUUAAACAUAGAAUUACCAUAUAACCCCGCAAUUCUAUACCUUCCGAGGUAUGUACCCAAGAGAAUUAAAAACAUCCACACAGAAACUUGUACAUGAGUGUUCGUAGUAGCAUUAUUCAUAAUUGCCAAAAAGUGGAAACAGUUCAAAUAUCUAUCUACAAUGAAUGGAUAAACAAAAAUGACAUAUUCCUAUAAUGGAAUGUUAUUUGGCCAUAAUUAGUAAUGAAGUGCUGAAACAUGCUACAAUGUGAAUGAACCUUGAAAAUAUUAUGUUAAGUGAAAGGAACUAGUCGCAAAAGGACACAUACUGUAUGAUUCCAUUUAUGUGACACUUCCAGCACAGGCAAAUCCAUAUGCAUAAUAGAUUAGUGGAUUAAUAGGGCUGCAGGGGUAGGGGGAAAUGGAAGUGACUGCUAAUGCACAUGGGCUUUCUUUUUGGGAUGCUGAAAUGUUAUAAAAUUGAUUGUGUUCUUGGUUGCACAAUUCUGAAUAUACUAAAAAUGAAUGAAUUGUACAGUUUAAAUGGGCAAAUUUUAUGGUUUGUGAAAUGUAUCUAAAUAAAGCUAUUAAAAAAGCACAUUGGCAGUAGAAUAGUAAAGGUAAUUCAUUUAUUACAUUAGCAUGACAAUAAUUGCCUGGAUUGUCAAUGUUACACUACUUAGAGACGAAAGAAUGCAAUUUUUCACUUCAAAACUCCAAAACCAGAUCUGCAGAUUUGUUUGUUUGUUUGUUUUAGACAGAGUCUUGCUCUGUUGCCCAGUUUGGAGUGUAGUGGCACGAUCUCAGCACACUGCAACCUCUGCUUCCUGGGUUCAAGCAAUUCCUCUGUCUCAGCCUCCCAAGUAGCUGGGACUACAGGCGCCUGCCACCAUACCCGGCUAAUUUUUGUAUUUUUAGUGGAGACGGGGUUUCACCUUAUUGGUCAGGCUGGUCUUGAACUCCUGACCUCAGGUGAUCCACCCGCCUUGGCCUCUCAAAGUGUUGGGAUUACAGGCGUGAGCCACUGCGCCCGGCUAGAAAAUUUUUUUUUAGGUAAUAAUUUUCUCGACACAUCUGAAUGCUAAAUAACGACAAGACCAAGACUGGUCAAAGGCUGGUCAAAAUCUGCAGCACCAUAACUGUUUAAAAAUGCCAAAUGACCAGUGGUUUUCCAAUAGUGUAAGCAACUAUCUCUCAAAAACAAUCACGUAACACAUAACACAU